AUUGAACGCUGGCGGCAUGCCUUACACAUGCAAGUCGAACGGCAGCACGGGAGCAAUCCUGGUGGCGAGUGGCGAACGGGUGAGUAAUAUAUCGGAACGUGCCCAGUCGUGGGGGAUAACGUAGCGAAAGCUACGCUAAUACCGCAUACGAUCUACGGAUGAAANCGGGGGAUCGCAAGACCUCGCGCGAUUGGAGCGGCCGAUAUCAGAUUAGGUAGUUGGUGAGGUAAAGGCUCACCAAGCCGACGAUCUGUAGCUGGUCUGAGAGGACGACCAGCCACACUGGGACUGAGACACGGCCCAGGCUCCUACGGGAGGCAGCAGUGGGAAUUUUGGACAAUGGGCGCAAGCCUGAUCCAGCAAUGCCGCGUGCAGGAUGAAGGCCUUCGGGUUGUAAACUGCUUUUGUACGGAACGAAACGGUGAGCUCUAAUACAGUUUGCUAAUGACGGUACCGUAAGAAUAAGCACCGGCUAACUACGUG
rnacentral:rRNA from 1 species